rnacentral:lncRNA from 1 species
UAUCUGCGCCGCUCGGGGCGCUCCGAGUGUGCGCAGCUGCCAGGCGAGCGUCUAAGGCGCCAGCUCAGGGCUGGCUGGGACCGGGCAGCAGAGUCUGAAACACGUCCUUGGAUUGGAUGCUAGAACCAGCGUUGAAGCCGAUGGCCUUCUGCCACUUAGUUAAUGUGCACCUGGCAGCUUAGGUGGCCGCGGAGAAAGCAACUUUGGCUGCACCAAGGUCCGGCACAAGUCUGGAGAAGCUUCAGCCAGUUCCAGUGAGUUGGGAUAAAUGAAACGUGGAUCUACCAUAGACGUCUGUCCGUCUUACUGGAUAAGCGAGCACCUUUACCGGGGAAGUUAGGCUUUGGUAUCAGGAUGACGCUGGCCUCAUAAAAUGAGUUAGGGAGGAUUCCCUCUCUUUCUAUUGAUUGGAAUAGUUUCAGAAGGAAUGGUACCAGCUACUCCUUGUACCUCUGGUAGAAUUCGGCUGUCAGUCUGUCUGGUCCUGGACUUUUUUUGAUGGCUGGAGUCAGCUGGCAAAUACAGAAGCAGGAAACAUUACACUGAAGCUCAGAAAAUAAUAUCCCCAAAUGAAGGCAUCAGAAAUAAAAGUUCUUCUCUGACUUUUAGACAUUGUAUUAUGAAAAAUUUCCAGCAUACAGAAAAGUUGAAGAACACCCACAUGCCUGCUACUCAGAUUCUACAAUAAACAUUUGCUAUAUUUGUUUUACCUACAUAUCUAGUCAUCCAUCCAUCCAUUCAUAUUAUUUUUAAUGCACGUCUUAUUUUUUAAUGCACUGUCAACUACAGACAUCAGUACUCUUCACCUCCAAACAUUUCAGCAACAUAUCAUUAACGAUAGUCAAAAAUUUGUUUAGAGUUC